GUUGAUAGCUGUAUGGCUACACAAAAUUUAUAGAUUUGUGAGGAAAGUCCGAGCUCCAUAAAAGCAUAGUGCUGGGUAACGCCCAGCAGAAGUAAUUCUAGGGAAAGUACCACAGAGAAUAUACCGCCAAAUAAAUUAAUUUGGUAAGGGUGAAAAGGUGAGGUAAGAGCUUACCGGUAGUUUAGUAAUAAAUUACGCAUGGUAAACCCCACUAGGAGCAAGACCAAAUAGAAGCAACAUAACUAAUAAGUUAGAAGGCGUUUUUAUCUAGUUGCUUGGGUAGGUCGCUUGAGGUAAAUAGUAAUAUUUACCCCAGAUAAAUAGCCGUAAUUAAUAUAUUAAUUAAUAUAUUUUACAGAACUCGGCUUAUAGGCUAUCAAUACAA
rnacentral:RNase_P_RNA from 17 species